rnacentral:rRNA from 1 species
GAUGAACGCUGGCGGCAGGCCUAACACAUGCAAGUCGAACGGAAAGGCGCUGAUUUUGUGGGGUGCUCGGGUGGCGAUCGGGUGAGUAACACGUGAGUAUCCUGCCCUUGCCUUUGGGAUGACUACAGCAAACUGGGGGUAAUACCAGAUCGGAGCUACUGCUGCAUGAUGGGGGUUGGCAUGUUGCGGCGUUUGGGGAUGGACUUGCGGCUUGUGUGACAGUUGGUGGGGGAUUGGCUGACCACGGCUUUGGAGGGCAGUCGGCCCGAGAGGGUGACCGGGCACAGGGCCACUGAGAUACGGGCCAGAGGCGUACGGGAGACAGCAGUGGGGAAUAUUGCACAAUGCGCGCAAGCCUAAUGCAGCAACGCCGCGUGCGGGAUGACAGCCUGCUGGUUGGAAAGCGCUUACGCCUGUGACGAAGCCUGAGUGACGGUACCGGGAAAAGAAGCACCGGCUAACUACGUG